UGAGGAAUAUUGGGCAAUGCCCGUAAGGGUGACCCAGCAACGCCGCGUGGAGGAUGAAUGCCGUAAGGUUGUAAACUCCUGUUAGAGGGGACGAAUGAUUCCGAUUGUAUCGGAAGUUGACUGUACCCUCAGAGAAAGCCCCGGCUAACUACGUGCCAGCAGCCGCGGUAAUACGUAGGGGGCAAGCGUUGUCCGGAUUUACUGGGUGUAAAGGGCGCGCAGGUGGGCUUGAUAGUUAGAGGUGAAAUCCUGUGGCUUAACUGCAGAACUGCCUUUAAUACUUCAAGUCUUGAGUGCGGAAGAGAGAGACGGAAUUCCAGGUGUAGUAGUGAAAUACGUAGAUAUCUGGAAGAACACCAGUUGCGAAGGCGGUCUCUUGGUCCGUAACUGACACUUAGGCGCGAAAGCGUGGGGAGCAAACAGG
rnacentral:rRNA from 1 species